AGCAGCCGCGGUAAUUCCAGCUCCAAUAGCGUAUAUUAAAGUUGUUGCAGUUAAAAAGCUCGUAGUUGAAUUUCGGGAUCAAUAUGUUGGUCGUGCCUUGGUACGUACUAGUUUAUUGGUUUCUUCCUUCUGACGAACCAUGAUGUCAUUAAUUUGGUGUCUUGGGGAAUCAGGACUGUUACUUUGAAAAAAUUAGAGUGUUUAAAGCAGGCUCACGCUUGAAUACAUUAGCAUGGAAUAAUGAAAUAGGACGUUUGAUUCUAUUUUGUUGGUUUCUAGGAUCGACGUAAUGAUCAAUAGGGAUAGUUGGGGGCAUUAGUAUUCAAUUGUCAGAGGUGAAAUUCUUGGAUUUAUUGAAGACUAACUACUGCGAAAGCAUUUGCCAAGGAUGUUUUCAUUAAUCAAGAACGAAAGUUAGGGGAUCGAAGACGAUCAGAUACCGUCGUAGUCUUAACCAUAAACUAUGCCGACUAGGGAUCGGAUGAUGUUAAUUUUUUAAUGACUCAUUCGGCGCCUUACG
rnacentral:rRNA from 1 species